rnacentral:pre_miRNA from 11 species
CAUAUGUGUCCCUAGGGCUGGUAAAAAGGAACCAGAUCGACUGGCAACUGGAUUUGGUCCCCUUCAACCAGCUGUGGUGGCACGUGAAAGCAGCCG